GGGGGGAUUAGUGGCGAACGGGUGAGUAACACGUGAGUAACCUGCCCUGGACUCUGGGAUAACGCUGAGAAAUCGGUGCUAAUACCGGAUAGGACCUGGAACCGCAUGGUUUUGGGUGGAAAGUUUUUCGGUCUGGGAUGGACUCGCGGCCUAUCAGCUUGUUGGUGAGGUAAUGGCUCACCAAGGCGUCGACGGGUAGCCGGCCUGAGAGGGUGACCGGCCACACUGGGACUGAGACACGGCCCAGACUCCUACGGGAGGCAGCAGUGGGGAAUAUUGCACAAUGGGCGCAAGCCUGAUGCAGCAACGCCGCGUGAGGGAUGACGGCCUUCGGGUUGUAAACCUCUUUUAGUAAGGAAGAAGGGGAGCUUGCUCCUUGACGGUACUUGCAGAAAAAGGACCGGCUAACUACGUGCCAGCAGCCGCGGUAAUACGUAGGGUCCGAGCGUUGUCCGGAAUUAUUGGGCGUAAAGAGCUCGUAGGCGGUUUGUCACGUCUGCUGUGAAAUCCCGAGGCUCAACCUCGGGCCUGCAGUGGGUACGGGCAGACUGGAGUGCGGUAGGGGAGAAUGGAAUUCCUGGUGUAGCGGUGGAAUGCGCAGAUAUCAGGAGGAACACCGAUGGCGAAGGCAGUUCUCUGGGCCGUAACUGACGCUGAGGAGCGAAAGCAUGGGGAGCGAACAGGAUUAGAUACCCUGGUAGUCCAUGCCGUAAACGUUGGGCGCUAGAUGUGGGGACCUUUCCACGGUUUC
rnacentral:rRNA from 1 species